ensembl:snRNA U6 U6 spliceosomal RNA
GCACUCGCUUCGGCAACACAACUACCAAAAUUGAUAUGAUACAGAGAAGAUGAGUAUGCCCCUGCGCAAGGAUGACAUACAAAUUUAUGAAGCGGUCAAUAUUUUU